GCGGGUGUAGCCCAAUGGUAGAGUUCUGGCCUUCCAAGCCAGCUGUGAGGGUUCGAUCCCCUUCACCCGCUCCA
rnacentral:tRNA from 1 species